rnacentral:rRNA from 1 species
GACGAACGCUGGCGGCGUGCUUAACACAUGCAAGUCGAACGGAAAGGCCCUGCUUUUGUGGGGUGCUCGAUUGGCGAACGGGUGAGUAACACGUGAGUAACCUGCCCUUGACUUUGGGAUAACUUCAGGAAACUGGGGCUAAUACCGGAUAUGAGCUCCUGCUGCAUGGUGGGGGUUGGAAAGUUUCGGCGGUUGGGGAUGGACUCGCGGCUUAUCAGCUUGUUGGUGGGGUAGUGGCUUACCAAGGCUUUGACGGGUAGCCGGCCUGAGAGGGUGACCGGCCACAUUGGGACUGAGAUACGGCCCAGACUCCUACGGGAGGCAGCAGUGGGGAAUAUUGCACAAUGGGCGGAAGCCUGAUGCAGCAACGCCGCGUGCGGGAUGACGGCCUUCGGGUUGUAAACCGCUUUCGCCUGUGACGAAGCGUGAGUGACGGUAAUGGGUAAAGAAGCACCGGCUAACUACGUG